UAAUGUAAUUACUACAAGACUAAUGCAUUAUAUCUCAUUAGAUCUUGAAAUUUAAGUGUGUUUGGGAUAGAGUAGUACUAGGAUGGGUGACCUCUCGGGAAGCCCUAUUGUUUUACAUUCC
rfam:Picea glauca, whole genome shotgun sequence.